UACAGAGGUGGCAAGCGUUGUUCGGAAUUACUGGGCGUAAAGGGCGCGUAGGCGGCCAUCUAAGUCAGACGUGAAAUCCCCCGGCUUAACCUGGGAACUGCGUCUGAUACUGGACGGCUCGAGUUUGGGAGAGGGAUGUGGAAUUCCAGGUGUAGCGGUGAAAUGCGUAGAUAUCUGGAGGAACACCGGUGGCGAAGGCGGCAUCCUGGACCAACACUGACGCUGAGGCGCGAAAGCUAGGGGAGCAAACGGG
rnacentral:rRNA from 1 species